UGCGCAGGCGGCCGUGUGUGUCAGGUGUGAAAUCCCGGGGCUCAACCCCGGAACUGCGCCUGAAACUACAUGGCUAGAGCAUUGGAGAGGGUAGCGGAAUUCACGGUGUAGCAGUGAAAUGCGUAGAUAUCGUGAGGAACACCAGAGGCGAAGGCGGCUACCUGGACAAUUGCUGACGCUCAGGCACGAAAGCGUGGGGAGCAAAAGGGAUUAGAUACCCCUGUAGUCCACGCCCUAAACGGUGCACACUAGGUCUUGGCGGAUUCGACCCCACCAGGGCCCAAGCUAACGCGUUAAGUGUGCCGCCUGAGGACUACGGCCGCAAGGCUAAA
rnacentral:rRNA from 1 species